GAUGAACGCUGGCGGCGUGCCUAAUACAUGCAAGUCGAGCGAACGGACGAGAAGCUUGCUUCUCUGAUGUUAGCGGCGGACGGGUGAGUAACACGUGGAUAACCUACCUAUAAGACUGGGAUAACUUCGGGAAACCGGAGCUAAUACCGGAUAAUAUUUUGAGCCGCAUGGUUCAAAAGUGAAAGACGGUCUUGCUGUCACUUAUAGAUGGAUCCGCGCUGCAUAGCUAGUUGGUAAGGUAACGGCUUACCAAGGCAACGAUGCAUAGCCGACCUGAGAGGGUGAUCGGCCACACUGGAACUGAGACACGGUCCAGACUCCUACGGGAGGCAGCAGUAGGGAAUCUUCCGCAAUGGGCGAAAGCCUGACGGAGCAACGCCGCGUGAGUGAUGAAGGUCUUCGGAUCGUAAAACUCUGUUAUUAGGGAAGAACAUAUGUGUAAGUAACUGUGCACAUCUUGACGGUACCUAAUCAGAAAGCCACGGCUAACUACGUG
rnacentral:rRNA from 1 species